rnacentral:rRNA from 1 species
AGUAAUGCCUUAUAAGAUACGUUUGUCGCAUGGCAUUUGUAUUAAACGCUCCGGCGCCAUAGGAUGGACCCGCGUCCCAUUAGCUAGUUGGUGAGAUAACAGCUCACCAAGGCCACGAUGGGUAACCGGUCUGAGAGGGCGAACGGUCACACUGGAACUGAGACACGGUCCAGACUCCUACGGGAGGCAGCAGUGGGGAAUAUUGCGCAAUGGGGGCAACCCUGACGCAGCAAUACCGCGUGAGUGAAGAAGGUUUUCGGAUCGUAAAGCUCUGUUAUUGGGGAAGAAAAAAAGACGGUACCCAAGAAGAAAGUUCCGGCUAACUACGUGCCAGCAGCCGCGGUAAUACGUAGGGAACAAGCGUUGUCCGGAUUUACUGGGCGUAAAGGGCACGCAGGCGGUUUUUUAAGUCAGAUGUGAAAGGCCACAGCUCAACUGUGGACAUGCAUUUGAAACUGAAAGACUUGAGUAUUGGAGAGGCAAGUGGAAUUCCUAGUGUAGCGGUGAAAUGCGUAGAUAUUAGGAGGAACACCGGUGGCGAAGGCGGCUUGCUGGACAAAUACUGACGCU